ensembl:snoRNA small nucleolar RNA SNORD94
UCUGUGAUGAUGAGAGGCGCAGGGGUACGGACCUCAGCCGGUCAUGGGGGCUGAGUGCUGCUGGAGUCUGAUCGGAGAACGAGUGGUUCUCUGUGGGACGACAGCAGCACGAGACAGACGCCUGUCUGAACAGA